ensembl:lncRNA
CUUUGAAAAGCCAGAAUCCUGGUAUAGGUUACAUUUCACGUGACUAAGGUGGACUGUCCGCUCUCCACAUAUUACGUUCAGCACAGCCACAGGGGAACAUCACGAGCACAGCUAAAAUACAGGGGAAUCUGUGCUGAUUUGCGUAUCUGGCAGAGAGCAGGUUAACCACACAGGAAAGCACAAGCAGGAAAGCAGGCAUUCCAGGCUGGUGUCAUGGGAGAACUGUGCACAUUUCUAAUGGACCACAAAAUGCAGUAGUGAGGGACGCUGAUCGCAGCCCAGAUAAGCCCCAUCUCCAUCUACAAUCACAGCUCCUGAGACGGAGUCCUUUCUCCCUAAUAAGUGUUCGGCGCAAAAGCGAGUGCUCGCGCCAAGUGAUGACAUCACACGAGGCCGGCGGUCUAAUCGCGUGGCGCUUCAGUCAGUGUCCAAUUAGGCCCCCUUCCCUUUCCCUCAGCCAUCAAGCCCU